rnacentral:rRNA from 1 species
GAUGAACGCUGGCGGCGUGCCUAAUACAUGCAAGUCGAGCGAACGGACGAGAAGCUUGCUUUUCUGAUGUUAGCGGCGGACGGGUGAGUAACACGUGGAUAACCUACCUAUAAGACUGGGAUAACUUCGGGAAACCGGAGCUAAUACCGGAUAAUAUUUUGAACCGCAUGGUUCAAAAGUGAAAGACGGUCUUGCUGUCACUUAUAGAUGGAUCCGCGCUGCAUUAGCUAGUUGGUAAGGUAACGGCUUACCAAGGCAACGAUGCAUAGCCGACCUGAGAGGGUGAUAGGCCACACUGGAACUGAGACACGGUCAAGACGCCUAAGGGAGGCAGCAGUAGGGAAUCUUACGCAAUAGGCGAAAGUCUGACGGAGCAAGGCCGCGUGAGUGAUGAAGGUCUUCGGAUCGUAAAACUCUGUUAUUAGGGAAGAACAUAUGUGUAAGGAACUGUGCACAGCUUGACGGUACCUAAUCAGAAAGCCACGGCUAACUACGUG